UAAGUCAUUAGAGUUCGGAGUUGAGGCCCUGGCUGGCCAAUGAACGCACAAGUGUAGGGAGUAUGUGCUACGUUAGGGGCAAGUCUUUCGCUAACACCACAAGGGUCCCGGCUUAACGACUGGAGUUUGAUAGUAAUUCUUGCUGCAAGC
rnacentral:snoRNA from 1 species